UACGGAGGGAGCUAGCGUUGUUCGGAAUUACUGGGCGUAAAGCGCACGUAGGCGGCUAUUCAAGUCAGAGGUGAAAGCCCGGGGCUCAACCCCGGAACUGCCUUUGAAACUAGAUAGCUAGAAUCUUGGAGAGGUCAGUGGAAUUCCGAGUGUAGAGGUGAAAUUCGUAGAUAUUCGGAAGAACACCAGUGGCGAAGGCGACUGACUGGACAAGUAUUGACGCUGAGGCACGAAAGCGUGGGGAGCAAACAGG
rnacentral:rRNA from 1 species